rnacentral:rRNA from 1 species
CAUUACUGAAAAACUUUAAACCAGUUUUUUUAUAUCCCAUUGUUUACCUACCCUGUUGCUUCCACUGGACAUGUUUUACCUUGUGGUAAGACCUUUGGCUUGUGUGAAUAACCCUAGCCGGAGAGUUGCCAGUGGUAAGAUCAUUUACCAAAAAACUUGAUUGAAACACAUUUGUCUGAAUCUUUUGCUUCAAUGAAAUAAAACUUUCAACAACGGAUCUCUAGGCUCUUGCAUCGAUGAAGAACGCAGUGAAAUGCGAUAAGUAAUGUGAAUUGCAGAAUCUCGUGAAUCAUCGAAUCUUUGAACGCACAUUGCGCCCUAUGGUAUUCCGUAGGGCAUGCCUGUCUGAGCGUCAGCUCCCCCCCACUCAAGUAUCCUUUUUGGGAUGUUUGGAUUGCUUUGGAGAGGCGACUUUCUAUUGGAGUCGCCCUUCAGAAAUUCAUAGGCAGUAUGGUUUGCACCUGAACCAGACGUAAUAAUAAUAAAAUCGUUUGUUUAGGUAUAAUUAAUUGUACUUGCCUCAACCCACCCAUUUUUACCUUGGGUGACCUCAGAUCAGGUAGGGAUACCCGCUGAACUUAAGCAUAUCAAUA